UUUUUCUUUUUCUUUAGCAAUAUCAUUUUCAGUGUAUGGGUAUUCCACAUCUUUGUCAGAUUCAUCCCAAAGUCUUUUACAUUUUUGAGACUAUUAUAAAUGGAAUUCUUAUUUUUAUAUUUCAACUUCUGAUUUUUCAUUGUUUUUAUAUAGGAACAAAAUUGGUUUCUGUAUAUUGGUCUUAUAUCCUGCAACUUUUCUAACUUCACUAGUUCUAGUAACUUUUGGGGGAAUUCCAAGGGAUUUUCUACAAAGACCAGGGGUUUGCAAACUAUGGACCAUGGGCUAAAUGUAGUCUGAUGCUUGUUCUACAAGUAAAGUUUUACUGGAACACAGACAUGCUCAUUUGGUUAUAUAUUGUCUAUGAUUCUUUUGUAUUACAAUGACAAAGGUAAGUAGUUCAACAGAGAUAACAUAGAUAAGCACGUCACAUACAAUAAAGGCAGUCUUGUUUCUAUAACCUUCAGUAAAAUGCUGAAUAGUCACUUCUAUUCAGCAUCCUUGUCCUGUUUUGAUCUUAGAGGAAAAGCAUUGUCUUUCACUAUCAUGUAUGGUGUUGAUAGAGAUUUUUUGUUUUGUUUUGUUUUGUCUGUGCCUUUCUAGGGCCGUUCCUGCGGCAUAUGCAGGAAUGGCCCUAGAAAAGGCAAAAAGACCAAAAAAAAAAAAAAAAAAGUUUCGUAAAAUUCACUACGUAGUCAUCUGGGAUUGAGGUUUUCUUUGUGAAAAGGUUUUUAACUACAGAUUAAAAGUUUUAGUACAUAUAGGGCAAUUAGGGUAUCUAUUUCUUUGUGAGCAAGAUUUUAUGGUUUGCAUUUUCAAAGAAUUGUCUGUUUCAUCUAACUUAUUGGAUUUACUGGCAUAAAUUUUCAGUUUUUUUUAAUCAUCCUUUUAAUACUGGUUGAAAAUGUAGUGAUGUCACCUCUCUCUUUUCUGAUAUCGAUAAUUUGUGUCAUCUUUUUUUCUGAUAACUCUAGCUAAAAAUACAUCAGUUAUGUUGAUCUUUUCAUUGGUUUCCUCUAUUAUUUUGGUUUUCCAUUUUACUGAGUUCUUUUUUUUAAUUCAAAUUACUUUGGGUUUAAUUUGCUCUUCUUUUUCUAGUUUCUUAAAGUGGAAGCUGAGGUUGGUAACUUAAGAUUUUUCUUCUUUCCUAAUAAAGUCAUUUACUUCUCUAAAUUUCCUUCUAAGUGCUAGUUUUGUGUCAUCCCCUACACUGUGUGUGUCAUCCUAUGCAUUCCCUAUUUUUUAUUUUUUGACCCAUUUGUUAUUUAGAUUAUAAAUAUUUGAGGAUUUUCCAAUGAUCUAUGGCAAUUAGUCUUAUUACUGAGGCAAAAACCUCUGGGUACUGUACCAAAUGUUAUAUGAAUCUCGAUGUUUUCCACUCUGGGUAGAAGGAAUAGGCACCAUUCUCAGUACUGUGUGAGCACCAUACACUGUUUCUGCUAAUCCUUUUAGAGGGACCAUAUGCUGAUGAGUAUUCAGCUAAACAAUCAAGGGGGAUCCUCUACAGAUCUUUGAAAAAUUCCCUCUCUGUGCAGUACUCUGUCCUAUAACCCCUAGCCACCUUGGUCUCCUUGGUCUCUCAGCUCCAUCUCCUCAACCCACAGAGUCCAUCAGGCUCUGUCCACUUCCCUGUACUGAAAACUCUCCCAUGGCAGUAAGCUGCAGCAGCCGUAUGUCUCACUCGUUUUUUCUUCUUGCCUCUCAAGUAUC
rnacentral:lncRNA from 1 species